rnacentral:rRNA from 1 species
AGUAACGGCGAGUGAAGCGGCAAAAGCUCAAAUUUGAGAUCUGGCUCCUUAGGGGUCCGAGUUGUAAUUUGUAGAGGAUGCUUCGGGUGCGGCCACGGCCUAAGUUCCUUGGAACAGGACGUCAUAGAGGGUGAGAAUCCCGUCUUGGGUCGUUGGUCCACGCCCGUGUGAAGCUCCUUCGACGAGUCGAGUUGUUUGGGAAUGCAGCUCUAAGCGGGUGGUAAAUUUCAUCUAAAGCUAAAUAUUGGCCGGAGACCGAUAGCGCACAAGUAGAGUGAUCGAAAGGUUAAAAGCACCUUGAAAAGGGAGUUAAACAGCACGUGAAAUUGUUGAAAGGGAAGCGCUUGCGGCCAGACUCAGGCGCAGGGUUCAGCGGGUGCGUGUCACCCGUGCACUCCCUGCCGCCUGGGCCAGCAUCAGUUCUGACGGCCGGUCAAAGGCCCCCGGAAUGUGUCGUCUCUCGGGACGUCUUAUAGCCGGGGGUGCAAUGCGGCCCGUCGGGACUGAGGAACGCGCUUCGGCUCGGAUGCUGGCAUAAUGGCCGUAAGCGGCCCGUCUUGAAACACGGACCAAGGAGUCUAACAUCCACGCGAGUGUUCGGGUGUCAAACCCGUGCGCGCAGUGAAAGCGAACGGAGGUGGGAGCCUUAGGGCGCACCAUCGACCGAUCCUGAAGUCUUCGGAUGGAUUUGAGUAGGAGCGUGGCCGUUGGGACCCGAAAGAUGGUGAACUAUGCCUGAAUAGGGUGAAGCCAGAGGAAACUCUGGUGGAGGCUCGCAGCGGUUCUGACGUGCAAAUCGAUCGU